rnacentral:rRNA from 1 species
CCUACGGGAGGCAGCAGUGAGGAAUAUUGGUCAAUGGACGAGAGUCUGAACCAGCCAAGUAGCGUGAAGGAUGACUGCCCUAUGGGUUGUAAACUUCUUUUAUAUGGGAAUAAAAUGUUCCACGUGUGGGAUUUUGUAUGUACCAUAUGAAUAAGGAUCGGCUAACUCCGUGCCAGCAGCCGCGGUAAUACGGAGGAUCCGAGCGUUAUCCGGAUUUAUUGGGUUUAAAGGGAGCGUAGGUGGAUUGUUAAGUCAGUUGUGAAAGUUUGCGGCUCAACCGUAAAAUUGCAGUUGAAACUGGCAGUCUUGAGUACAGUAGAGGUGGGCGGAAGGCGUGGUGUAGCGGUGAAAUGCUUAGAUAGCACGAAGAACUCCGAUUGCGAAGGCAGUUCACUGGACUGCAACUGACACUGAGGCUCGAAAGUGUGGGUAUCAAACAGGAUUAGAUACCCGAGUAGUC